GACAGAGGGUGCAAACGUUGUUCGGAAUUACUGGGCGUAAAGCGCGUGUAGGCGGUCGUGCAAGUCGGGUGUGAAAGCCCUCGGCUCAACCGGGGAAGUGCACUCGAAACUGCAUGACUAGAGUCUCGGAGAGGAUAGUGGAAUUCUCGGUGUAGAGGUGAAAUUCGUAGAUAUCGGGAGGAACACCGGUGGCGAAGGCGGCGACCUGGGUUGAUACUGACGCUGAGGCGCGAAAGCGUGGGGAGCAAACAGG
rnacentral:rRNA from 1 species